ACGACUGCUAAGACUGGAUAGGAGACAAGAGGGCAUCUUCUUGUUUUUAAAAGACCUAGCAAUUGGUAUGCUUAGGGAGGAGCUUGCGUCACAUUAGUUAGUUGGUGGGGUAAAGGCCUACCAAGACUAUGAUGUGUAGCCGGGCUGAGAGGUUGAACGGCCACAUUGGGACUGAGACACGGCCCAAACUCCUACGGGAGGCAGCAGUAGGGAAUUUUCGGCAAUGGAGGAAACUCUGACCGAGCAACGCCGCGUGAACGAUGAAGUAUUUCGGUACGUAAAGUUCUUUUAUUAGGGAAGAAUAAAUGAUGGAAAAAUCAUUCUGACGGUACCUAAUGAAUAAGCCCCGGCUAACUAUGUGCCAGCAGCCGCGGUAAUACAUAGGGGGCAAGCGUUAUCCGGAAUUAUUGUGCGUAAAGGGUGCGUAGGCGGUUAAAUAAGUUUAUGGUCUAAGUGCAAUGCUCAACAUUGUGAUGCUAUAAAAACUGUUUAGCUAGAGUAAGAUAGAGGCAAGUGGAAUUCCAUGUGUAGUGGUAAAAUGCGUAAAUAUAUGGAGGAACACCAGUUGCGAAGGCGGCUUGCUGGGUCUUUACUGACGCUGAGGCACGAAAGCGUAGGGAGCAAACAGGAUUAGAUACCCUGGUAGUCCACGCCGUAAACGAUGAGUACUAAACGUUGGGUAAAACCAGUGUUGGAGUUAACACAUUAAGUACUCCGCCUGAGUAGUACGUACGCAAGUAUGAAACUUAAAGGAAUUGACGGGACUCCGCACAAGCGGUGGAUCAUGUUGUUUAAUUCGAAGGUACCCGAAAAACCUCACCAGGUCUUGACAUGCUUCUGCAAAGCUGUAGAAACACAGUGGAGGUUAUCAGUUGCACAGGUGGUGCAUGGUUGUCGUCAGCUCGUGUCGUGAGAUGUUGGGUUAAGUCCCGCAACGAGCGCAACCCUUAUUGUUUGUUACCAGCACGUAAUAGUGGGGACUUUAGCAAGACUGCCAGUGAUAAAUUGGAGGAAGGUGGGGACGACGUCAAAUCACCAUGCCCCUUAUGACCUGGGCUACAAACGUGAUACAAUGGCUGUUACAGAGGGUAGGUGAAGCGCAAGUUUUUGGCGAAUCUCAAAAAAACAGUCUCAGUUCGGAUUGAAGUCUGCAACCCGACUUCAUGAAGUUGGAAUCGCUAGUAAUCGCGAAUCAGCAUGUCGCGGUGAAUACGUUGACGGGGUUUGUACACACCGCCCGUCA
rnacentral:rRNA from 2 species